UCUCCGUAGGUGAACCUGCGGAGGGAUCAUUACUGAGUGAGGGCUCACGCCCGACCUCCAACCCUUUGUGAACCCAACUAGUUGCUUCGGGGGGCGACCCUGCCGUUCGGCGCGGCGCCCCCGGGGUCAAUCAAACACUGCAUUCUCUGCGUCGGAGUAUUAGUAAAUCUAAUCAAAACUUUCAACAACGGAUCUCUUGGUUCUGGCAUCGAUGAAGAACGCAGC
rnacentral:misc_RNA from 1 species